AGUGGGGGUGGGAGGAAGAGAGACACCCCCCCUCUCCUUCCCGGAAAGGAGGAAGGAAACUGAGUUGAUGAAAGAGGCUUGAGUAAAAGAAAAGUUGUUCCAAGUUAUUGAAAGAGUAGAUACUGGAAGAGAAGUAAUUUUGCAAGAUGUGGCAAUGGUAGGAGAAUACAAAGAUCAUAAAGGAGUACCUCACCAUGAAAGCCAAAUUUAACAAGCAGUCAUUUUGGCAGCAGUGCCCAUAGCAACACCGACUGGUACAAGGAAGACUGCAACAAUACUGCAGGCAUCUACCACGAGAGAGGCAAUUGAAUCAACAGUCUACGCUGGCUCAGCAGUGCAGUCUGUUGUCACUUCUCUCCAAACAGGGCUAAACAGUGCUACUGCCAAGCAUCCAAUCAGAAUGAGUGCUGGAUUACAAUCACUGCAUAUAUUCAAAGUUAUUGUACGUCUAAAGGCAAAAAGAAAGGAACAACUUACCAGUCAAAACCCUCCACUUUUGGGUCGUUGGAAAGGGCACUAAACACAGUACAGCAUGAAUAAAGGCACAGAUUAAGAAUCCAUCUCCUAAUGUGAGCAAGUCUGUAGAGAAAACUGCUUUUUUACAAGUGCCACUGUACGAUAUCUUCAAAGUAAAACUUAUAUUCACCUCAUACCAGCUGGCAAAAAAUAUAUAUAUUUUCCAAAAGAGAAACAAGUCAUUUGUAUGCUGACACAGGUGUUGGAGCUCAGACCCCUAAGAAGAAAAACCUUUGAAGCUAAGGUCAGAAAUGGGAAUCUUACAGCAGGUAACCAAUGUGGUUGUAGUGUUGUUUGGAUUUCACAAAAUGCUGGAAACCUAUUGUUUACUUGAAAUCUACCUUUAAGUGGCUAUUGAUUCCCUCCACUCAAGGUUUCAAACAUCACCCUAACAAAAGAAUUCAAUGUAGCAGUACAAAGAACUGCAGGUUGUAAUUUGUUGUGAGGACUGCAUCCCUCAAUGAAAACUUCCUGCAUGUCUAUUGGAAGAUUAGCCUAUCGAAUCCAAUGCAGUUUUGAAAGGUAAGCAUUUAAAACAUGACUAAUACCAAUAGAAUGUAUUACUCACAGGCUGGAGAAUAGAAUAGAAUAAUGUAUCUAUUGUAAAUGGAGCACCAACUGCAGCACAUUCAGAAAAACAUAAUUUGGAAUCUGACUGCUGGAUUGUGAGCUUUCCAAAUGUAAAGCUAAUAGAAAAAAGGAACAGUCACUCUGGGGCGGUAUGUGAUUUUAGGUUACAGCGACUACCAGAGGGCUAGUUCAGAAAGGAUAAAUGGCUGAUUUCCCACUGUUCUCCAAUGCUAAUCUUACAACCCUGGUUUACUACUGUGACCUUGCUAUAACUCUCCUGUUUCACAGUGGCCAUGAAGCUUUUAUUUUAUCUGUGUACUUAGAUGGUGCUUGUCACCAGGGUAUCUGAGUACUUCAAAGUCAUUAAUGGAAUUUUAUCCUCAUAGCACCCCAGCGAGACAGGGAAAUGUCCUCCUCACUUUACAGAUGAAACAAAGAGAGGUAAGAAAGAUUAAAUAACUUGCCCACUGUCACAUAGGUUAUUUGUGUCUGAACCAGGACUCAGUCAGAGUCCCCUCCAUUAAAACCCCUUUUCCCCUAGGCUCUGCUAUAGUAGGCAACCAUUGAUCCUCCAGAUUAUGGUGUACGCAUAGAAGGUCUAGUCAGGUGCCUGAAGAAUCCAUUUCUGGCUGACGAGUCUAAUUUGAGAGCAAUACACCUUGUUACUAGGGCCGUGCGAAGCUUCGGUCCCUGAUUUGAUUCAGCCCGAUUCAGUGGCCGAUUCGGUGGCUGGAUCUCUGGAUCCAGAUCAAAUCAGAGGACCCUUUAAUCUCUCUGAAUCGAAUCGGAACCCCCCGAAUCGAUUCAGAGAGAUUCAGAAAGAUUCAGAGAUUCGGACAUAGAGACAGCUUUAAAUGUUUUUUCUACAUACUUCUAGGUAGCAGGCAGCUCGUGAAUGCUGCGAUGCUGGGGCCCAUGGAGCAUCCCACAGGAGUGCAGGAGGUCCCAAGCAUGCUUGGCAGCAGACCCAGAAGUGGACCAGAAGCACCCCCUUGGCUCAGCAACUGGUGCCUUCUGGGUCUGGGGGAGGCAGCCGGGGUCCCCCCCACAGCCGAUCACUGAGCCGGAGGGGGGACUCCCCCACGUGCUCCUAACAGACCCGGAAGUGGACCGGAAGUACUUCCAGUCCAUUUCCAGGUUUGCCGCCAAGCACAUGGAGACCCCCCACCCCCUCCACCCUGCACUCCUGUGGGAUGCUCCAUGCACCCCAGUAUCGCAAAGAUCACAAG